AUAUCGAUCACUAGAAUUUUACGAUUACGUCGAUCGGAAAAGUUCGAAUUUUAACCGACAGAUAGUGACACUUUCAAAGAAUUUUCCGAAGAAGUAAUGAACAAGUAAAUCAAAAUAUCACUCUGUGUGUCUCUUUGAAAUAGAAUUAAAGAAGAGAAAGAAAAAAAGAAAUAAUAAAAACUCAUUGGAGAGCGCGUAAAGGCGUCGAAUGUUCGAACAUCUAUAGAAAAACAACAUUCUUACUCCUUUCUUAUGGACUACGUAAGAGGAACAAGUUUGGAAGUCAUUGAUCUUAAUACUGGUGCAACGCUAGGACCCAAAGCUGCAACAGUCGCUCCUAAAAAAAUAGUGCUCGUUUGCGUCCUGGUUGCGUUAUCAAGUAUAGGGGGAGACAGAAAAGAAAAAGAAAAAGAAGAAGAAGAAAUAGCACAAAAGAAAAAAAAAAGAAGAAAAAGAAGAAGAAAGAAAAAAAAGAAGAAAAAGAGGAACGAGAACACAAGAAAAAGAAGAAGAAAAAAAAAAAGAAAUUCGACGCGUUAAGUAAGUACAUCGCAUGAUGUACAGAAAAAAAAAAAGAAAUAAAAGAAAGAAAAAAAUACUCGCGGGAAGGAAGAGAAGGAGAAGUUUGUAAACGAGAAGGAGAGGGAGGUUUUUUUUUAUCGUUCUAAACAACGCGAUGCAUCGUAAGACAAAUAUGUCAGAGAAUGGCCGUAGAGAUGAUUGACGGAAGCACAUUUACACUUUACGAUACUUUCUCUCGCUUGGCUUUUCUCGCUUCGUCGAAAGAAAAGAAAAGAAAGAAAAAAAAAAAAAAAGAAAGAAAGAAAAAAAAAGGAAAAAAAAAAACUCUUUACCCUUUCGACUCGUUUCUUCAACAAAUUUGUUUUUCAUUCGAACGGAAUACAUAAGUCACUAAAUUGCAUAAGUAAAUAUUAAUUACUUUAUUAUCAUCAUUUUUCUUGUAUUGGAUUUGCAUUAUUUCCUAAAUACUUUUUUUUCCUUUCUAAUUUAUUUUUUUUCAUGACAAGCACCAGAAAAAGGAUUUAGCAGUAGAUUUAUACUUACGAAAGAACAGUAUAAUUUCUUUACAGUAGUAGCUAUAAUUUUUAAAAUAUUAAAACAAUAAUGAAACGGCGAGAUAUUAUUGUAAAUGCAUAACCGAUCGUAAUCAUUCGUUUGUCCUAAUAUAAAUAAAUUAGAAAACAUAAUUAGUGUUUUUUCUUUCUCUAAUAUCUAUAUAUACAAAAAUUUAAUAUAUUGCUUGACAAAAAGUCAGUAUUUCUUUUUUUUUCUUAACCCUGAUUGUGCACAACUCAAAAUAAUUUCAUAUUGUGCAUUUGAGAUAUACCACAUCCUAGACACUUUCAGCGGUCGUCAUUCAUACAGAAUGAAUAAUUUUUAGUCCUCCUCUCCCUCCCAUAAAAAAAAAGUACUAUAUAUUCUUCGAAAUCAAGGAAAUAAUAAUCAAUAGGUUCUUCGAAAAUGCAUUUCCAAUUCUGUCUUUAUAAAAGAAAAAAAAUUCAUGAAUUAUGCAAUGUAAUUAUACAAUGAAUUAUGCAAUGUAAUUAUACAAUGAAUUAUGCAAAAAUCGUUUUAAUUGAGCUCAAAGGAUUUGAUCCGU